rnacentral:rRNA from 1 species
UACGUAUCGGAUACUGGGCGUAAGCGCACGCAGGCGGUCUGUCAAGUCGGAUGUGAAAUCCCCGGGCUCAACCUGGGAACUGCAUUCGAAACUGGCAGGCUAGAGUCUUGUAGAGGGGGGUAGAAUUCCAGGUGUAGCGGUGAAAUGCGUAGAGAUCUGGAGGAAUACCGGUGGCGAAGGCGGCCCCCUGGACAAAGACUGACGCUCAGGUGCGAAAGCGUGGGGAGCAAACAGGAUUAGAUACCCGGUAGUC